rnacentral:tRNA from 1 species
CAGAGUAUAGUUUAAUUUAGAAUUCUAGCUUUGGGAGCUAGUGGUGGGAGUUAAAAUCUCCUUUCUCUGA